rnacentral:rRNA from 1 species
UACGAAGGGGGCUAGCGUUGUUCGGAAUUACUGGGCGUAAAGCGUGCGCAGGCGGUUUUUCAAGUCAGAGGUGAAAGCCCCGGGCUCAACCCGGGAAUGGCCUUUGAGACUGGAUGGCUAGAGUGUGAGAGAGGUGAGUGGAAUUCCCAGUGUAGAGGUGAAAUUCGUAGAUAUUGGGAAGAACACCCGUGGCUAAGGCGGUUCUCUAGUACGGUACUGACGCUGAGACGCGAAAGCGUGGGGAGCGAACAGG